rnacentral:rRNA from 1 species
UACGUAGGGGGCAAGCGUUGUCCGGAUUUAUUGGGCGUAAAGAGCGUGUAGGCGGCCAUGCAGGUCCGUUGUGAAAACUCGAGGCUCAACCUCGAGACGCCGGUGGAAACCGUAUGGCUAGAGUCCGGAAGAGGAGAGUGGAAUUCCUGGUGUAGCGGUGAAAUGCGCAGAUAUCUGGAGGAACACCGGUGGCGAAGGCGACAUCCUGGACCGGCAUUGACGCUGAGGCGCGAAAGCGUGGGGGAGCAAACAGG